rnacentral:lncRNA from 1 species
CCUCCCUUUUUUUUGUUGGCGGGUCUCCCUCUUUGGCCCUCUUUUUUCUUUCUGCGCGCCCAUUCUUUUGCACGACCGCUCUUUUUUCCCACCGUCGGGGAGGCGCUCCCCCCCCCUGGCCCCAUCGCCGCGUCCCCCAAUCGCGUCUUUUCUUUUUCUUUUUUCCUGUUCUUGGCGCGGGCAUGGUCGGCUUUAGAAAAAAAAACAAAGGGGCCAAGCCUCAAAGAGAUGCGCUGCCCAGUGUCCCCCUGCCAAGGCGACCAAGGCACCCACGCGCGCGAGGAGACCACGACAAAAAGGCGCGACCAAAUCAUCCAAUGGCAGCCAUUCGAUCGUGGAGGAACAAAGAAAGGAGCCUCUGAAAAGGCUGAGAAGCAAAGGCGCAGACACCCGACGAGGAAUGCUCUUCUUGGGCCGCGGGUGCCUCUCUCAAAAAAAGAAAGAAAGAAAGAAACCCUUUGCCGCCCCCGGCCAUCCGAC